GGGGAGCCCGCUGCUGCCUUCCUCCUGACCUCGCCUCAUUCACUCUGCUCAGCAGUGCCGAGCUGUCAGCAUCAGCUGUGCCGAGCCAUACGAGGGGCCACGCAUGCCAUGCCUUGUGUGCUCACGUUUGGCCUCGUGCCGGGCGAGGGUGGGCUCUGGUGGCUCAGCACCCAGAUGCGUUCCCACCUAUCUGCUGUGGAAGCUCAGCCCGAGAUGGCACAAAACAGCUUCGCUUCCUCUGCUCCGCUCCGAACUCCUCCCACCCAGCGCUUCCUCUUUCAGAGUGGAAACAUCAUUGUAAUAGCUAUUUCUGAAACGUCCCUGCCAAAAAUCAGGAAGCACAGAGGAAUACUUCAGGGCGAGGAGGGGGAAAAGGUAUCUCGCGAGUUAUUUCGGGAGUAGGGAAUUUGUUUACAUUAGUUUGGGAGGAAAGCCGAGGCUAAUCCCGUGUUGUCUUCAGACCAAUCAUUACGUUUCCAGCUCAAGUCUCUCCGUGCUUUAGGAACUAAACUCUCUAUGCUUUUAGAGACGUGGUUUAACGGGCAAUACUGGUGGCAUGUGGGUGGUUGGACUAGAGGAUCUGAGAGGUCUUCUCCAACCUUAAUGAUUGUAUGAACUGUAAGAAGCUGCAGAAGUGGGUCUGCAGAACACCACACGUGAAUGAGUCAUCUCCAGUGGAAGUACGCCUGUGAUGGGAGCUGUGCCUAAAUGCUGUGCUGAAGUAAAGCACGUGCAUGGAGAUGAAGAAAGAAGGAAGGAGACUGUGUAAAAUUAAUAAAGCUUAGAAUCUCAGCAAAAAUCUGCAAGCGCUUUGAAUGAUUUCAGUGUUUGAACACAGCAUACAAACAAACAGCAUUCAUCAUGAAGAUACUGAAAACAGUGACCCCCUCCGCAGGUUCGGACCCCUCAACACUGUAAUAAUCUGUGGUGAGUUAUCAGAGCUCCCUUGAAUGAGAAGGACGCUUCAAACCUUGCAAAAAAAAAAAAAUCAACUUCAGUGCUUCUAAAGAAAUGCAUUUUACAGCUUUUUCCACUCUUUUGGAUUCUUCUCCUCCCCCUUCUACCUCUCUUGCACUCUUCUCCUUGGAGAGCAGAGUUUAACAUGCCAUUGAGGAGAUAGCCCGCAUGCAAAGUCCCUCAAACAUAAACACACUUAAAGAACAGAUUCAUCACAGCAGGCUUCCAAAUGUGGAAACCACAUUCCAUCUGCACCCUUAUCCAAUGGUCAUUAGCUUAGAUCUUGAAUGGACAUUACUUAAAGCAAAGAUUAUAAAAACAUACAUACUGCUCAACAGUGAUUCAUCAGCUUCCAAGCUCUGCAAUUGAGCUCAGAGUGACUCAGGCUGGGGACUUCUGGAAUGUGCUGCAGGAAUUUGCUGCACUGAGUCUGCAAAGCUGCCUUCAGAUGGUUUCUCUGGCAACUCAGGACAUUUCAUUGAACUCAGGUUUGCAGCACUGUAACAUCAGUGACUCCUGUGCUGCCAGCUCUGCAGAGGGCUCAGCACCCACAUCAGCACACUGCUCAGGAGCUACGGAUGACAAUGGUCUCACAUACACAGCCCGGCGAUAAGGUAAAAGUCUACAACGUGUUGAUGUUGAUGUGAGAUGAGGAUGCUCAGCACUUCAGAAAACGAGGCCCUAAGCAAAAGAGGGGAGGGCACUCAGGCCUUUUCAGCAGGCUCUGGGAGCAGAGCUCACCUUGUCACACCUGGCGGCAGAGAGCUGCACAUCAGCUGCUCAUUCACACCCCCCUAGUAGCAGAUGGGAAGAAACAGCACCCGCAGGCUCUGGUUCAUCCUAACUAUCUCAGAUAUUUAGGAGAAGGUGAAUUGUACUCUUAGUACCUUGUGCUAUGGUGAGUAGUUCAGUUAUCACUGCUUACACUAUUCGUAUCUACCUUUGCUCAGCUGCAUCCCAUGUCUCAAUACCUCUCUCAGUAUGUCCUUAAGCCCACGAUAAUUCCACCUCAGGCCAUUGUCAGGAUUUAUACAAAUCACCUCAAGCCUUACUUCUACUUAUCUCAAAGGCACUUUGAUAAAGGAGCACAUUCAAUGAUUAAAAAAAAACCAACAUUGGUCACCUGGUGACGAUGCAACAUUCACCACACACUAAAAGCAACCCCCUCAGGUUUCACUUACAUUAAUAUUUAGGUAUCGGCAGGAAGUGAUGUUCCAAUAUCAUGACUUGGUGAUGUGUUUAUGAUCUGCUGCAUGGACUCAUUCACUGUAAAACAGAAAAAGAUUGUUUAUCAGAUAAAAAAUGGUUAUAGUACAAACCAAAAUGAAGGAAGUACUUUUCUUGUUGAAAUAUUAAGUGAUCUGUUUGGUGCUCCUGCCUUAAAUAGUCUGAGCUUCCCUUAAAAAUUAAAACAUGAAAUUCUCUGUUAUUUGUUUUGAUGCUGUCUUACUAAGAAGUCACAGAGCCUCUUACACUGAAUCCUGUCCUUUACGUCAGUUCUUUUUUUUUUAACUGUGUUUUGCAAAUUCAAACUUCAUCAACCAAACAAACCUCCCGUUUUGACUACAGAAAAUCUACAUUUGAAUCUGAAUUUUGUAUGUUGGGUUACUCUCUGCUUCCUGUUUGAGAGCACAGUUAUGGCACCCACUUGCAUGAGUUCAUAACUAAUUGAAAUGCUUGCGACAUGAGUAUGUGCUAAACAGAGGAAUUUAACAAAAAAGUUACUACAAGUUGAAGCAAUAAAAUCUUAAAGAGUUAAAAACAGCUCAUUUUUUUCCCCAAGUUGCUCAAGCUAGGAGUUGUUUGCAAUGCACAGAGCACAUCUGGGACUUUAUUCCCUUUUGCAGCGUCCUAUAUACGUAUCUUUUUAGAUUUUAGAAUGCGACAGAGAUCCACGCAGUGAAGCUUGGUGCAGUGAUAUGAAACUCUCUCAGUGAUUUUCAAAAUAUGCAACCCAUAAAUCAUUCACCUUAACCCGGACCUGAAUUUGCAUAAAACCAGAGUCGAUCAUCUCAAAAGGUAAUUUACUCAAAGCCCAAACAAUCCCAGCUGUGUGAAGCACAUAACAAAGUUAUGAAGGUAGGAUUCACAUGGCUUCAGGGUUUGUAAUGGAUGCUUUGCACAGCUGUAAUGAUGAGUGGGUGAGGAUAGUUAAGAAUGAAUGAAGUGUGGGUGGUGGAAAUAUUCACUGGGCAUGUCACGGCCAGAGGAGGAAACACAGGGGCCUCCCAGCCUCCAGGAUGGAAAGGACGUCAAGGCUCCAUGGACAGGGGUCCUACUUAUUUAUUUAUUUCAGCCCUGACACAUUCUCAUUAGGAAGGCAAAAAUGUGAAAUCGAUAGUUUCUCUUGAAUGCAGGAAGCCGACUGUGGCUGCGCAGCAGAGCUGUCUUAUAAUCUGCUUCCAAACGUGUGGGUGCCUCUUGGGUUUCCUCAGAGAUUUUAUGGACCGGUUUCAAAGUUUUCUGUAAAUUCAGGCCAACAAUGUCUGCAUCCCCUACCACAUCAGUCAAAAAUCAGACUGUGCUUCAGAGUCAUGUAAAUUCCUUCUAUAAGAAACAUUUACAUUUUACAAAAUGAAAACUGAGCAGACUACUUCACGAGGUGAAUUCACCCCUGGUUUGUCUCCCUUGUUACAGUGCAGUUACCGCAGGGAUGGGUUGACUAAUAGGUUACCAUUAACAAACAGAAAAAUGAGUAGCACGUAUAACCGAACAUUACAAAGGUUUCGCCCAGGAUUGCCAUGGCACAUGAUAAGAUGGCACAUUGAUAAGAUACUUCAUUCUUACCGUUCCUGAAUUUUCAUGAGACCUUAUCUGUAACUCCGCAAAACCCGAAGCCCGGUUUAUAUUUCUUUAUGGCAUUAUUAUAGGGCACUGUAAGUGUAAUAAAACAAUCUGCUAACUGUUCUCCUUGACUGCUCAUAUUCAUUGCUCCUAGACAGGUUUUCUUGCACAUAUGGUAAAAUAUAUACAACAACUUUCAUAUCUAAGGUCCUAGUAAUUUAAACACAGUCCAUUUCUUUAUUGGCAAAAUAUUCUUUGUAGUUACGACUUGAUUAGGCUGG
ensembl:lncRNA